AUACUUACCUGGUAUGGGAGAGACCAUGACCACGAAGGUGGUUUUUCCAGGGCGAGGCUCACCCAUUGCACUCCGGGUGUGCUGGCCCCUGUGAUUUCCCCAAAUGUGGGAGAUUCAACUGCAUAAUUUGUGUUAGUUGGGGACCGCGUUCGCGCUCUCCCCUA
rnacentral:snRNA from 1 species